rnacentral:pre_miRNA from 17 species
GAUACAGAAUAAUUUGUCUCCAUUGUGUUCUAUGGCUUUUUAUUCCUAUGUGAUUUGACACAUGCUUCAUAUAGGGAUGAAAGCCAUGAAAUGUACUGUGAGCAAUCCAACAGAGGAUGG